CUUGGUCAUUUAGAGGAAGUAAAAGUCGUAACAAGGUUUCCGUAGGUGAACCUGCGGAAGGAUCAUUAGUGAAUUAAACAUGCUUGGUGUCUUCGCUUCGGCAAGGCCCUUGCUUAACUCACAUCCCAACACCUGUGAACUGUAAGGCGCAUGACUAGGUUCGCCCAAGUCAUCGUCUGCCCUUUUUAACAAACAAUUAAUGUAACAAACGUAGUCUUAUUAUAACCUAAUAAAACUUUCAACAACGGAUCUCUUGGCUCUCGCAUCGAUGAAGAACGCAGCGAAAUGCGAUAAGUAAUGUGAAUUGCAGAAUUCAGUGAAUCAUCGAAUCUUUGAACGCACAUUGCGCCCGCCAGCAUUCUGGCGGGCAUGCCUGUUCGAGCGUCAUUUCAACCCUCGCAGCCCAUCUGGGCAGCGGUGUUGGGGACCGGCACCACCGGCGAAGCCCUUAGGGACCCAGCCGGCGCCGCCCCCGAAAUACAGUGGCGGUCUCGCUGCAGCCUCCCUUGCGUAGUAGUACACCUCGCACCGGAGCGCAGCGCGGCCACGCCGUAAAACCCCCGACUUUCUGAGUUUGACCUCGAAUCAGGUAGGAAUACCCGCUGAACUUAAGCAUAUCAAUAAGCGGAGGAAAAGAAACCAACAGGGAUUGCCCCAGUAACGGCGAGUGAAGCGGCAACAGCUCAAAUUUGAAAUCUGGUCCCCAGGGCCCGAGUUGUAAUUUGUAGAGGAUGCUCUUGGCGAGGUGCCUUCCGAGUUCCCUGGAACGGGACGCCAUAGAGGGUGAGAGCCCCGUCUGGUUGGAUACCAAGCCUCUGUAAAGCUCCUUCGACGAGUCGAGUUGUUUGGGAAU
rnacentral:sRNA from 1 species